ensembl:snRNA U4 U4 spliceosomal RNA
AGCUUUGCGCAGUGGCAGUAUUGUAGCCAAUGAGGUUUAUCUGAGGUGCGAUUAUUGUUAAUAGAACAUUCAUUUAAGCUUCAAAUAUUUGAGUGCCCAAUAUGUG